GACGAACGCUGGCGGCGUGCUUAACACAUGCAAGUCGAACGGUGAAGGGACUGGUUUUGCUGGUCCUGGAUGAGUGGCGAACGGGUGAGUAACACGUGAGUAACCUGCCCCCUUCUUCUGGAUAACCGCAUGAAAGUGUGGCUAAUACGGGAUAUUCUGGGUCUGUCGCAUGGUGGGCCUGGGAAAGAUUGCGCCUUUUUUGGUGUUUUUGGUGGGGGAUGGGCUCGCGGCCUAUCAGCUUGUUGGUGGGGUGAUGGCCUACCAAGGCGGUGACGGGUAGCCGGCCUGAGAGGGUGGACGGUCACACUGGGACUGAGACACGGCCCAGACUCCUACGGGAGGCAGCAGUGGGGAAUAUUGCACAAUGGGCGCAAGCCUGAUGCAGCGACGCCGCGUGAGGGAUGGAGGCCUUCGGGUUGUGAACCUCUUUCGCCAGUGAAGCAGGACUGCCUCUUUUUGUGGGUGGGUUGACGGUAGCUGGAGAAGAAGCGCCGGCUAACUACGUG
rnacentral:rRNA from 1 species